rnacentral:lncRNA from 1 species
UAACAAGUAUAAAAUCUGUUAUUGCACACAUGUCAAGAUUAACAGGUAUUGUCAUUCUUCACUUCCUUGCGUAAUCUCAAAUUCUUCAUCUCAACUCAUAGCUGCUUUUUCACUUAUUGUAUACGUUGUCAAUCUCCAAUUUCAUUUACAAAUGAGUUAAUCCACUUCCUGUUUCUUUGAAAAUUGAUCAAACAACUAUGGUUUCGAAUAAGGUAAUCAAGUUGUGGCAGGAGCUUACAUCCUUCAGCAACACCAAUAGAAUUUACGACUAGAGACAUUUAUUCUUAAUAGUAAAUUUCUAAAUAUUAGUUUCAAGCUCAAAAUAUUAUGGAGGGACAUUAGAUGAUAAAAAAAUUAAUAAUGAUAACCUAAAAAUCAUACUUGAUGUCUAGAAAUCCUAGAUUGCAUCUCUUACUUUCAAGAUGCAGUAAUUUCGACCGUACGGUAGAGUUGAACUAGAAAUCCUAGAUUUUAUCUCUUUCUAGAAACUCAUUAGAUUAUUUCUUACAGUCUUCAACUAGACAUUAACUCAAAAGAGCCAGUUCUCACAGCAUGCACAGCUGUCUGGAAACGACGAUAAAACAUACAAAUAGUUUUCAAAAUGCUGAUCAGAUUCGGAUCGACCAUUAAUAAGACACCAUAGAGAGAGAGUAAAUCAUUGUAGUUUCACAUUGCAAACAUAAAAGGAGAAAAUAUGCACAAUGAAAUAAAGACAUUAUUUACCUCUUCAUAAAUAUGUAAGGGACCCCAGUGAUCGUCGACGCCAAACAAAAAUGCCAUCUGACUUUUCUUUUCCCUCAUAAAUGACCAAUCAGGUACCUCAGAAAGCUAAUCCAGAAGGGGAAAAAAUCAUAAUCAGGAUAGACUGAGAAAACUUCUAUGGAGGAAUACAGAAUGUGCACGGAUUUGACGCAGUUGGGGGAAAUUUCUUUCUUUUUGGUCAUGUUUUAGCUUGUCGUUUAAAGAUUUUCUAUGGGAGUAUUCCUGCUUGUCAUGCAGCUGUUUUGCAACAAAAAUCACAGGUUUUUUCACCUCUUUAUGAAAAAUUA